GAUGAACGCUGGCGGUGUGCCUAAUACAUGCAAGUCGAGCGAACAGACGAGGAGCUUACUCCUCUGACGUUAGCGGCGGACGGGUGAGUAACACGUGGAUAACCUACCUAUAAGACUGGGAUAACUUCGGGAAACCGGAGCUAAUACCGGAUAACAUGUUGAACCGCAUGGUUCAACAGUGAAAGACGGUCUUGCUGUCACUUAUAGCUGGAUCCGCGUCGCAUUAGCUAGUUGGUAAGGUAACGGCUUACCAAGGCAACGAUGCGUAGCCGACCUGAGAGGGUGAUCGGCCACACUGGAACUGAGACACGGUCCAGACUCCUACGGGAGGCAGCAGUAGGGAAUCUUCCGCAAUGGGCGAAAGCCUGACGGAGCAACGCCGCGUGAGUGAAGAAGGUCUUCGGAUCGUAAAACUCUGUUAUUAGGGAAGAACAAAUGUGUAAGUAACUAUGCACGUCUUGACGGUACCUAAUCAGAAAGCCACGGCUAACUACGUG
rnacentral:rRNA from 1 species